ACGCACGCUGGCGGCGUGCUUAACACAUGCAAGUCGAACGCUGAAGCUCAGCUUUUGUUGGGUGGAUGAGUGGCGAACGGGUGAGUAACACGUGAGUAACCUGCCCCCUUCUUUGGGAUAACGCCCGGAAACGGGUGCUAAUACUGGAUAUUCACUGGUCUUCGCAUGGGGGUUGGUGGAAAGGGUUUUUCUGGUGGGGGAUGGGCUCGCGGCCCAUCAGCUUGUUGGUGGGGUGAUGGCCUACCAAGGCUUUGACGGGUAGCCGGCCUGAGAGGGUGACCGGUCACAGUGGGACUGUGAUACGGCCCAGACUCGUACGGGAGGCAGCAGUGGGGAAUAUUGCACAAUGGGCGCAAGCGUGAUGCAGCGACGCCGCGUGAGGGAUGGGGGCCUUCGGGUUGUGAACCUCUUUCGCUAAUGGUCAAGCCGCAACAAUGGUUGUGGUGAGGGUAGUGGGUAAAGAAGCGCCGGCUAACUACGUG
rnacentral:rRNA from 1 species